rnacentral:tRNA from 1 species
AAAUAAGAAGUAAAAAUUACAUUUAGUUUCGACCUAAAAUUUUGGUGUUUUUCACCCUUAUUUA